UACAGAGGGGGCAAGCGUUGUUCGGAAUUACUGGGCGUAAAGGGCGCGUAGGCGGCCUUCUAAGUCGAACGUGAAAUCCCCGGGCUCAACCCGGGAACUGCGUCCGAUACUGGAAGGCUUGAAUCCGGGAGAGGGAUGCGGAAUUCCAGGUGUAGCGGUGAAAUGCGUAGAUAUCUGGAGGAACACCGGUGGCGAAGGCGGCAUCCUGGACCGGCAUUGACGCUGAGG
rnacentral:rRNA from 1 species